AUUGAACGCUGGCGGCAUGCCUUACACAUGCAAGUCGAACGGUAGCGGGCCUUCGGGUGCCGACGAGUGGCGAACGGGUGAGUAAUGUAUCGGAACGUACCUUUCAGUGGGGGAUAACGUAGCGAAAGUUGCGCUAAUACCGCAUAUUCUGUGAGCAGGAGAGCAGGGGAUCGCAAGACCUUGCGCUGAUUGAGCGGCCGAUAUCAGAUUAGCUAGUUGGUGAGGUAAAGGCUCACCAAGGCGACGAUCUGUAGCGGGUCUGAGAGGAUGAUCCGCCACACUGGAACUGAGACACGGUCCAGACUCCUACGGGAGGCAGCAGUGGGGAAUUUUGGACAAUGGGGGCAACCCUGAUCCAGCCAUGCCGCGUGAGUGAAGAAGGCCUUCGGGUUGUAAAGCUCUCUCGGCCGGGAAGAAAUCGUAUCAGCUAAUACCUGGUGCGGAUGACGGUACCGGCAUAAGAAGCACCGGCUAACUACGUGCCAGCCGCCGCAGUAAAAC
rnacentral:rRNA from 1 species